rnacentral:rRNA from 1 species
GAUUAACGCUGGCGGCGUGCCUAAUACAUGCAAGUCGAGCGGACGGACGAGAAUCUUGCUUCUCUUAUGUUAGCGGCGGACGGGUGAGUCACACGUGGCUAACCUACCUUUUAGACUGGGAUAACUUCGGGAACCCGGACCUAAUACCGUAUAAUAUUUUGAACCGCAUGGUUCAAUAGUGAAAUACGGUCUUGCUUUCCCUUUUUGAUUGAUCCCCGCUGUAUUAUCUAGUUGGUAAUGUAACGCCUUACCAAUGCAACGAUGCAUAGCCGACCUGCGAGGGAGAUAGGCCACACUGGAAUGGAGACACGGUCCAGACUCCUACGGCAGGCAGCAGUAGGGAAUUGUCCGCAACAGGAGGAAGAAUGCAGGCGCAACGCCGCGUGAGCGAGGAAGGUCUUAGGAUCGUAAAACUCUUUGAUUAGGAAAGAACAUAUGUGUAAGUAAAUGAGAACAUCUUGACGGUACUGAAUAAGAAAGCCACGGCUAACUACGUG